AGCUGUGUGACCUUGUUCAAGUUACCCGGCCUGUCAGCGCAACAGUGUUCCCGUCUUGUAAAACGGGCACAAUGUCAAGUUGAGAUAAUUCACGGAAGAUAAUUCAUUGAACACAAUACCUGGUUAGUGUGGCUGCUUCUGGAACGCCCCUGUUGCAGAUCGACUGCGGGAGAGACCAAUGAGAGCACAGGCCGGAAGAGGAGCAGCACGCGGCGAUGGAAGACCCACAGAGAAUGGGACAAUGCUAUGUCGCCCCUGUGCCCCCUCCGGAACACCCCACGAAUAUGGCUCAGAAGCCAGUUUAACUGCUUGAACGUUAUUGAUGACUGGGGUCGUGGGACAGCCAGGAUCUCACGAUGUCGUCUUGGAUCACACUCUCCAGCACGACAGUAGGUUCCUCCUAGGGAAACGACGCUUUCCCUUCCUCUUGGAGAUAAUACGCAUUCCGACCAAAUGUACAUCUGGGUAGUUAGAAUAAAGAUUUUAUUUUCUA